CGUGCUUAACACAUGCAAGUCGAACGGAAAGGCCCUGCUUUUGUGGGGUGCUCGAGCGGCGAACGGGUGAGUAACACGUGAGUAACCUGCCCUUGACUUUGGGAUAACUUCAGGAAACUGGGGCUAAUACCGGAUAGGAGCUCCUGCUGCAUGGUGGGGGUUGGAAAGUUUCGGCGGUUGGGGAUGGACUCGCGGCUUAUCAGCUUGUUGGUGGGGUAGUGGCUUACCAAGGCUUUGACGGGUAGCCGGCCUGAGAGGGUGACCGGCCACAUUGGGACUGAGAUACGGCCUAGACUCCUACGGGAGGCAGCAGUGGGGAAUAUUGCACAAUGGGCGGAAGCCUGAUGCAGCAACGCCGCGUGCGGGAUGACGGCCUUCGGGUUGUAAACCGCUUUCGCCUGUGACGAAGCGUGAGUGACGGUAAUGGGUAAAGAAGCACCGGCUAACUACGUGCCAGCAGCCGCGGUGAUACGUAGGGUGCGAGCGUUGUCCGGAUUUAUUGGGCGUAAAGGGCUCGUAGGUGGUUGAUCGCGUCGGAAGUGUAAUCUUGGGGCUUAACCCUGAGCGUGCUUUCGAUACGGGUUGACUUGAGGAAGGUAGGGGAGAAUGGAAUUCCUGGUGGAGCGGUGGAAUGCGCAGAUAUCAGGAGGAACACCAGUGGCGAAGGCGGUUCUCUGGGCCUUUCCUGACGCUGAGGAGCGAAAGCGUGGGGAGCGAACAGGCUUAGAUACCCUGGUAGUCCACGCUGUAAACGGUGGGUACUAGGUGUGGGGUCCAUUCCACGGGUUCCGUGCCGUAGCUAACGCUUUAAGUACCCCGCCUGGGGAGUACGGCCGCAAGGCUAAAACUCAAAGGAAUUGACGGGGCCCCGCACAAGCGGCGGAGCAUGCGGAUUAAUUCGAUGCAACGCGUAGAACCUUACCUGGGUUUGACAUGGAUCGGGAGUGCUCAGAGAUGGGUGUGCCUCUUUUGGGGUCGGUUCACAGGUGGUGCAUGGCUGUCGUCAGCUCGUGUCGUGAGAUGUUGGGUUAAGUCCCGCAACGAGCGCAACCCUUGUUCACUGUUGCCAGCACGUUAUGGUGGGGACUCAGUGGAGACCGCCGGGGUCAACUCGGAGGAAGGUGGGGAUGACGUCAAGUCAUCAUGCCCCUUAUGUCCAGGGCUUCACGCAUGCUACAAUGGCUGGUACAGAGAGUGGCGAGCCUGUGAGGGUGAGCGAAUCUCGGAAAGCCGGUCUCAGUUCGGAUUGGGGUCUGCAACUCGACCUCAUGAAGUCGGAGUCGCUAGUAAUCGCAGAUCAGCAACGCUGCGGUGAAUACGUUCCCGGGGCUUGUACACACCGCCCGUCAAGUCAUGAAAGUUGGUAACACCCGAAGCCGGUGGCCUAACCGUUGUGGGGGAGCCGUCGAAGGUGGGACUGGUGAU
rnacentral:rRNA from 1 species